CGGACGGGUGAGUAAUGUAUGGGGAUCUGCCUGAUGGCGGGGGAUAACUACUGGAAACGGUAGCUAAUACCGCAUAAUGUCUGCGGACCAAAGCGGGGGACCUCCGGGCCUCGCGCCAUCAGAUGGACCCAUAUGGGAUUAGCUAGUAGGUAAGGUAACGGCUUACCUAGGCGACGAUCCCUAGCUGGUCUGAGAGGAUGAUCAGCCACACUGGGACUGGGACACGGCCCAG
rnacentral:rRNA from 1 species